CUCUUUCUCUCCACUCCCACUCCCCUCCUCUCUUCAUCUCUCUUCUGGCCCCCCUCUCGUCUCUGUCUUCUCUCUCGGUCGUCGGAGAGAGAGGUGGGGGAGGAGAGGUCUACGAGAGGGACGGCGGCGGCGGAGGGGCGCGCGAGGCGGCCGGGCGGGGUCGGCGGCCCAUCGGUCGGGCCCGGUGGCUGCCGGGCGCGGCGGGGCUACCCGGCGCCGCCGCGCGCGCUGCCGCGGCCGGUGCGACGCGGGGGUACCGUGAACGAGGGCCUGCUCCAGGACCUCGUGCGGAAGAGGAAGGAGGGGCGGCGGCGGCUGGCGCCGCGGCGCCGCCGGCAGACGGUGCCGACCGAGCCCCGGCUCGCGGCGAGGGCCGCGGCGGAGCGGCAGCGGUUGACGAUGCGGCGGCGGGGCGCGCUGCGGCAGCUGGCGAAGGGGAGGCAGGCGCGGCGGCUCCAGUUCCCCUUCGGGGUGAAGCGCCUGAAGCCCGACCAGGGCGGGCGGACCCCGCGGCUCCGGCGCGGGACCCAGCGGCGGCGGCGGCUGCCGACCGGCGACGAGCUCCUCGAGUCGAAGUUCGCGUACCAGCAGUGCCUGCUCACGGACCUCUACUAGCGGAGGAGGAAGUUCUUGAAGGUCCAGGACGCGGAGCAGAGUACGCUCCCUAAGUCGUGGCGGCCGGAGCGGCGGUAAUGUCUUCCAACGUCUUUAAAUUCUCUUGAACUGGACGUUCUCUUGAUGUAACUCCUAACAAGGUCAGUAACCGAGUCAAUGAAAGGUCUUAGGAAAUGAACAGACCUUUGAGACUUGAAAAGUACGAAUCUUCCCCUCCAGUUAAAGUGACAUGAACUCGCCGAUCACUCGUCUACGGCGUUGGAGUUCUGAGACUUCGAGUUGUUACGAUAGGGAGAACUGUUCCAACGAUCGGAAGAAGCAUUCCGAGGCGUUGAUCAUCUUGAGCCUUGACCGUUUAAAAGGCGACUCAUAGUAAGUCUAGAGAAACGUUUCGAACUUCGCCGUAAACGUCCAACAUUUUCGGACUCUUCCGAGAGACCCCGAACCCUACGACAAGGUCUAAUGGACGGUCGUAAGAUGACACAUACACUUCCGGACUGUAGUGAAUUAGACUCAAUACGAUGACACGCUCCGGGGCUCGAUUAUUUUAAAUAAUCGUCUACGUUCUUAGACGUCGUUAAUACCCACUACCUGGAUUAACUCCUGGUACCAGAUCGACAACACCGUCCGAGAACGUCAUUUGACGUUCUCGACGCCCAGAAGGGCAGACUGGGAAAACCACGGCCCGUUCAAAAUAACUGACUUUCUCCGGAACAACUACAAAGACGGUCAACGGGGUACAACCUCAGUCAAGAGAUGAAGACGCCGGUCUACUGCUUACUCCGGGAGUAAUGUUAACGUUUCUUGGCAGGGUUGAAGUGAACGAAGGCCAAUACGUAGGAACUCGGGGCAUGAGGUCUAAUGCAGUGUGCCGUCAGAGAACUACGACCGAAGUCACGGUAACACCUUAGUACGUUCCCGGAAUCCGCGGAGAGACACAGACCGGAAGAGUGUCUAGAGCACAAGUUUAGUUAGCCACGUUUACCAUUAACAGAACUCUACGACAGUUAGCGGAAACGACCCUUGUCACUAGAACCGGACGUAAUAUAGGAGAGACCGACGUUCUCGGACUUCUUCGACCUUUAGUCCCUGACGGGUAAACCUUUAUUCGGCAACGACCGUUUACGACGGUUCGACCUCUGUUACGCUAGGGAAACCUACAGCAGCACGAGUAACUGGGACCCGCGUACGGCUGUCGAACGUCUCUUCUACGGGGCGGAAUGGCACCUCUAUUACUUGCUAGGACCUGCUUGUACGGGACACCUCAGUGAAGGCCUACUAUCGGGUCAGCUCUGUAACAUACACAUGGCCUGUUAACGGCCAGGUUCCAGACUGUGUGGUCUAAUGCAGGUCUAACAAAUUCCCAUGUCACCACAUAAGUAAAAGUUGGACCUAACCUAACCAUGGAAGUUGUGGAAGGAUCGUAUUGCAUCUUAAAAAGACAGUUCAUCUUUCCGACCACCAACCUACUUCUACAGCAUUUUAGAGUUGAGCCGUUCACAUCCUACUCUGACCUCCGGAAAAGUCCACAAUUAUUGACAUCCUCCGACCCACCUAAUGUCUUUGACGAUCUAUCGCAGUACUCUUUUGCAGCCAAACAAAAGAAAUCGCACAAAUCAAGAAAAUACAUAUUUCUAUACCGCGGUAAAAUUAGAACAUAACAUGACAUGAUGAUGACCUAUUUGACAUGGACCUCGACUCAAAAACAGUGGGGAUGAAAAAACCGGGGA
rnacentral:rRNA from 1 species